rnacentral:lncRNA from 1 species
AACCCAACUCAAGAAAAAGCUAAAUAUAGUCGGUUAUCAGUAAGAAGCAAAUAGGAAUCAAAGUCCAGGAAUUUCUGCUUCUUAGUUCUACGAUCAGCACCUGCCCAAACUAGGAACAUUUUUCAAUACUGUUGCUGUAUGUUGACACCAUGAGUUUUUUUUUUUUUCCCUCUCACAGAAGCUUUCAGCAGCAAACGGCUUUCCUUCUAGAGGACUCUACAUUAAAUCGGGGCAAAUAUCAGGGCAAACUAAAUUCCUCCCUCAUCACUUCCCUGGGUUGGUGACCUACACAGAAGAGCAGAGCAGUAACUGGACCAGCCAGAUCCAGCCCAGCUGAGCCCACGCACAGGAAGCGUGGGCUGUGAAGUGGCCACACCCCCAGCCGCUGCUCCAGAAGGCUCUCCCCGCACAGGCCUAGCCUCACAAGCGUGUGAGUUGGGAACACGCCACCGAGGGAGGCGGAGAGGCCGCGGACCACUUCUCCUGCAGCAGCAAGGCGCUUCCGGUGAUGUGCACGGCAAGGCGUCCCUGAAGCCAACAGCCCAUUACAGGGAGAGUUAACCCAUAAAGCGGGAUGGAUCACAAGAAGGUAAUUCAACUGCAAGACUCUUGACAACAGCAUUAAUCUAAUACUGCUUGGGAGGGAAAUCACUUUUUUUUGGUUUGGCGUUUUCAUUAACAGAACCACCCGACUGUCACUUAAAAAGCUGCGUCAGGAAAAACAGCCUCUCACGUGGUCUUUACUAGACAGAAUGACCUGACCUCGCUUUAUAUAAACCACAGAAUUGCUCGUUGAGCCACAGGCUGCAGGCCAUGUAGGCUAAACUUGGGUUUGUGAUGGCAUUCCAGAUACAAAUGCCAUUUACUGAUUGGGGGUUUUUCCAGCAAGGGUGGCUCGUGCGUAAGGGGACAGGAUGGAAAAAUCCUGAACAGGAGUUCCCACUGGGGCUCAGCGGGUGAAGAACCCAACGCUGUCUCUGUGAGGAUAUGGGUUGGACCCCUGGCCUGACCCUGUGUUGCCCUGGCUGCGGUGUAGGCCUCAGCGGCAGCUCUGAGACACGUGACCCGGGAACUUCCAUAUGCCACAAGUGCAUAAAAAGAAAAACCAAAAGCAAAAAAAACCCCUGGACAGCAUUCAGAGGGACACCACUUCAGAGCGCUUCUCAUGGGCAUUAGAGGGAAGCGGCGUUAGCGGGAAGCUCACCGGAACCUUCCCCUGCUCUUUUUCUUUUCAGGAGCUCCAGUCCCAUUUGGUUUAAACAAACAGCUCGGAGUCACAGAAAGCACCAGGUUUGCAUCUGAGAGCUGUGUUCACGCCCGCUUCUUUCACAAGAUGCUGAUGGGUACGCGAUGAGCCCACUCUACCUGGGCUAUAGUUUGAUCCGCUCAGUGUUCAUAACCUGGGGGAUGAGAAAACACCUCCCAGAUCCACCAAGGGAAACGGUACCACUGCAUUAAAUAGGCAAGAAGUUCAGGAUAAGCAUACUUUAGGGCUUUACACAAUGGAAUGACGCUGCUGCACGACAGACAACAAAACACAUAACGUGCAUGUAUGAAUAUGAUGGAUGCGUUCUUUGCAUUCGCAGCAAGAAAGUGGAAACAACUUAAGCUUCUUUUCUUGUGUCCUGAAGUAAAAUUCAUGAAGAACUUCUCCAAACAUUCCUCACCAAAACCCUCUCACACUUACAAAGAGGUUCUAAAACUAGAGGUGAAGCAAAACUCUCUAGAGCUGUGGCUCAGACACUUGAGCAUCACUUCAGAGUCAUUUCAAAUACUCAGGAGAUUUGUAUACACAUUAAUGUUUGAGAAGCACCGGCCUAUAGCACUUUUUCAAUUAAGCUUUUCCUUUUUUUUCUGUAAAAAAAAAUUUUUUUUUUAACUGAGGUAUAGGUUUGUUUUGUUUUUAUGGCCCCACCUGCAGCAUAUGGAAGUUCCCAGUCCAGGGGUCGAAUUGGAGCUGCAGCUGAGGCCUAUGCUGAAGCUUGUGGCAACACCAGAUCCUUAACCCACGGAGCGAGGCCAGGGAUCAACCCUCCAUCCUCACGGAAACAAUGUCGGGGUCUUAGCCCAAGGAGCCGCAACGGGAACUCCUCGAGUAAGCUUUAAUUACAUACAAGAGCUAGACUCUGAAUGAACUCCAUGUUACAGUUCAUUAGAACAGGGUGGAGGCUGCUUUGUCAGAUACGAGGAGGCUUUCCUUCAUCUGUGGCUUGACGCUACCUAAGCAACCAUCGCCAGUGUCGGGGUUUAGCACACCACACGCACUGAAGGCAAAGGGUACGGGGAUGUUCUCAGGUCGUCAGCAUUAAUGUCUCAACAGGACUUACUUAAGAAACUAGUCCUCAAAGUCAGAACUUCUAAAUUUUGUCGUCAGUGCUUCUCAAGCUUUGGCAGGCCUGAGAAUCACCAGGGGAAUUUGUUUUAAAAGGAAGAUAGUAAGGUCUCACCACCCAGGAGUCCUAUUAGGUUCAUCAGGAGUGAUUCUAGCAAUUCUAAGAAACGUGACAUCGGGGCUGGGAUUAGAAGGCACCCAGGGCACAUUUAGGGAAGUACUUACCCUCAGGUGCAAGCAAAUGCAAGACUGCCACCUGAGCAAACCUGACUGUAUGUGCCUCCUUAAAUGUCACAUUCAGGGCAUCUCGCUGGACUCAUCCUGGUCUUGGGCUUGUAUUGGGUGAGUCCAUGGACCAGCAGCACCAGCACAGUCUGGAGCCUUUUUAGAAAUACAGAAUCGUGGCCUAACUCCAGGACCACUGAAUCAGAAUCUGCAGGUUAACAAGAUUCUCAAGUUACUCUUUCAUUAAUUUUUUUUAGGGCCGCACCCGUGGCACAUGGAGGUUCCCAGGCUAGGGUCCAAUCGGAGCUACAGCUGCUGGCCUACGCCACAGCCACAGCAACGCGGGAUCCUCAACCCACUGAGUGAGGCCAGGGAUCAAACCCACGUCCUCAUGGAUGCUAGUCAGCUUCAUUACCGCUAAGCCAUGACGGGAAAUCCUCUCAGGUUAUUUCUUGUGCACACUGAAGUUUGAGAAACACUGAAAACAAGGGGAUGCCCAAACAAAGUCUUGCAACUGACACGAAAAUGCUAAGCUCUUUGUAACACAACAUGAUACAGGAACGUGAGCAGCGGCUGCCCACUGAGCUCAAAGGACAGCCCUACACUGACCAGCAGUUUUGUCGCUCUCUCUUAACCCCUGGCCUGAAUAACGACAUGAAAGAGAUGCUUGUUAAUCUGCAGGUGGAAUAAAACAAGAGGCUGCUGGUGCAAAAAGAAAGAACCAGGCCAUCUUGACAGGCCGGAGGACAGGUCGCACGCUGAACUAUAAUAAGUGUAGGAAAAAUUUUACACUUAAGCUAAAAAUUUCAAUAAUGAAUGUAUAUAAGAUGUGUGACAGUUUGCCUGGCAGCAAAACCUAUGAAAGAUCCUGGGAAUAAGUCCGGAAGUAAAUCAUGCAUUUAAUAUAAUGGCAUUUCACAUCAGUGGGAGAAAAUGAAUAAUUUAAUAAAUGGUGUUGGAAUAAUCGGGUAGCUAACCGGGAAAAAAAAUGAAAGUGUACCUCCACCCGCACGUCUUACAGCAAAAUGAAUUCCCGAAGGAUCGAAGAGUUAAACAUAAAAGCAAAUCUAUUACAGUAUGAGAAGAAAAUAUGAGGAAAACUUUCAAAAAAUAACCUCAGAGUGGGUGAGGCCUCUCUAAGCAAGAACAACAUCCGAAUGAUAUAAACAAAACCCAGAGGCUCUUUUUUAAAAGUGGAGACCUUUGACUGUAUCAAGAAAAGCACCUGCUGAGAACUAUGUCUAGAUACUCAUGCUGCAACAGAACGAAGGGUGGGGAAAAAAAAAUGUAAUGUAUACAUGUAAGGAUAACUUGAUCCCCUUGCUGUACAGUGGGAAAAUAAAAUUGAAAAAAAGAAAAAAAGAAAAAAAGAAAAGCACCUGCAUGGUAAAUCCCACUGUGAGCAAAACCCGGAGAAAGAUGACAAAGGGGGGUUACAACUGGCAUCAAAAACACAGUUGCCCUCCUGGGGAAGAGGGAGAAGACGAGUCUCGCGCUGCUGUAAAUGGCUGAGUCGGGGUUAAUGGAAGACAUUUCUGUGAGUUCAAUGUCAGCUGAACGUAUGGAAGACCUUUCUAAGAAUCAGGCCAAGGCGAACCAGCCAACUUCUAGGAAUUUCUGGAAGGGAGGACCACGCAAGACGGGAACUCAGCAACAUGAUCUUUGAGGUUCCGUCAGACUCUAAAAUGAUGCCGUUCCAACCCAAGGAUGACAUCACCUCCGGAAGAGUUCAGAGCACACAAGCAAAGCCGCGAGGCCCUCUCACCUCCCAAAGGACCGGAGACCACUGUGCUCGGGGCUCUAACUUUUCACUCAAAGCACAAUGUCCUGGGGCCGGGGGCAGGGGGUGGGGGAGGAGGAAUGGCGGGUGUACACGACUUACCCACUCAUGACUCCAGCACUUGGGAGUAUUUUGAGUUUUUGGUGGUUCGGGCUGGGCAAUCCUAUUUCAUUCCCAUUCCUUCCCUUGGCUCUC